GAUUGAACGCUGGCGGCAGGCCUAACCCAUGCAAGUCGAGCGGAUGAAGUGAGCUUGCUCCUGGAUUCAGCGGCGGACGGGUGAGUAAUGCCUAGGAAUCUGCCUGGUAGUGGGGGAUAACGUCCGGAAACGGGCGCUAAUACCGCAUACGUCCUGAGGGAGAUAGUGGGGGAUCUUCGGACCUCACGCUAUCAGAUGAGCCUAGGUCGGAUUAGCUAGUUGGUGGGGUAAAGGCGUACCAUGGCGACGAUCCGUAACUGGUCUGAGAGGAUGAUCAGUCACACGGGAACUGAGACACGGUCCAGACACCUACGCGAGGCAGCAGUGGGGAAUAUUAGACGAUGGGCGAAAGCCUGAUCCAGCAAUGCCGCGUGUGUGAAGAAGGUCUGCGGAUUGUAAAACACUUUAAGUUGGGGGGAAGGGCAGUAAGAUAAGAACUUGCUGUUUUGACGUUACCAACAGAAGAAGCACCGGCUAACUUCGUG
rnacentral:rRNA from 1 species